rnacentral:lncRNA from 1 species
GGCCACCGCUUACCACAGACGUUCGCGCAGAACUGGGAGAACGACGAUGCUGCAGUGAGGUUGCGAGAAUGAGCGUGGGGUCGAUGGCCGACGACCGCUGGCAAGUGUGCAGCGACACACACCAUGGGCUGGGAAGAACCGGAGAUGACAUGCGGCGAGCUCUGGCCAGUUGAACGACGCAAAGCAUGUCAACUCGAAUGCGAGUUCGGUGACCAGUAAAGCUCAUGGAGAAAUUCACUAAAGGCCGAGAGAUGGCAGGGAAAUUAUUGAACUGUAGAGCACAGCAAUAGGAAAAAGGAAGGAGGAAGAUUACUGCACUUUGGAUUUUAAACUAGGAAGGAGAGGAGAAUUGCACGCGCAGCCAGCCACACGUCCCAGCGAAAGCACACAGACAGCUGCGUGGCAGCUCUUGCAUGUGGCACAGACAGGAAGUAGCUGCGUGGCAGCCCAGCUCGAUGACCGUCGGCCACCACCAGGGGAAAACAUCUAGAAUAGGGGACAAACCUGGCUCCCUGCAACCAGUGCCACGUCCACUACGCGUGUCCGUUCAAGCCUCACAGUCCUGCAGAGCUCAACGCUCAAAUUACAGGAGGCAAGCAAGCUAGCUCCUGCCGACAUGCACAUGGAGCACACAAGUUAGUGGAUUAGCUGAACACUCUUCCAAACUGAAGCACGUUCAGCCCCACACCCAGCUAGUGGAUUGGUUGAACUCUCUUCCAACUACCAGCUCUUCCCAUCUCUAACCACAGCUUUAAAUUACUGACACAUGGGGAGCAUAACUACAACGUGGAGAGCUCUCUGCUCCCAAAACUAAACCAAGUUUUCAGUCACCGAAACUGAAUUCAGCACUAAACAACUAAAUCCCCAUCCUUAACCCCUUUGAUCCUCACAAUUCCAUGUAAUACAUGUUGACCUUUGUUAACAAAAUUUUCUCACAAAAUAUAGCUCUAAGAAAGUGCUGCAGCAACUCAAGGUCGAAAGCUCACAGAUUACGAAUUAUUGUGCCUCAAAGUGGGGUGAAAAUGUUGAAUCAUGGCUUUUACUAACUGAAUAAGAUUCAGCAUUUUCCCAGACUGACAACUCGACUUGGAGCAGAAUUUUCUCUCGAUUUGAAGUAAAAACGGGAAAAAUGUAUAUUAACAAAAACCGCUCUCCAUCCUGCCCUCUAACAACUUGCUAUAGCAACACAUGGCUGAAAACACACUGAUAGAAAGUUAUAAUGCCCCAAAGUUGUCCCAAACCAAUUGAACUUUCUUGUUUCAGUUAGCUGAAAUCCAAAACCUGACAGUGAAUGUUUUGGGACAGUUUACUGCAAGCUCUGUGCAGGACCAUGCCAAUCUCAUAAUAAGAAAUCUACUCACUAACCAAAGAUCUUCAACAUUGCUACAGGAGUCAUGGCUCAUACCCACAUGGAUUAGUCACAACAAGGAUCUAAAACUGAGUAAGCACACUGAACUUGGUCUUUCAGUUGGCUGAAACCUGAGUUCGGACAUUAAAUCCCGACAGCCCCUCUUUGGACCAACAUUUCUCCCAAAUUUGUGUAGUAUCAAGACAAACCUACUUAAGGAAAUUUGUUCACCAAACCAUCCCCUAACAUUUUUCUAUAGGGCAUGCAGCUCGAAACACCAUGGACAAGGCAAAGGAGAACUCCAAAGUCAGAUGAAAAACAAUGAAUUUCAGCUUCAAUAAACUGAACCUAGUGCUGAAACCCAAAUGUUUGACACCACAGCUUCGAGCAAGCUUUUCUCCUAGUUCUAUGCAAGGUCACGGCGAUCCAACUUAAUGAAAAUUACUCCCCACACCACCCUCUAACAGUUUUAUAUAGAGAGUGCAGACUAUAACUUCAUGGAUCAAAAGUUAUAGUGCCCUGAAGUUAGGUAAAAACACUAGAAUUCAGCUGCAGCUAACUAAACAAGAAACUGAACACACAUGCCUGACAAAGAAUGGUUGGGCAUAGUUUACUCAAUUUUUGUGCAGCACCAAACAAAACUUUCUUAAGAAUAUUUGAUCACCAUUAUAUGGUAUUCAACUUUGCUGCAGAGAUAUACCCCAGAACUCCAUGGAUCAGGCACAAAGAAGCUCCAAAGUUGCACCAAAAACACUAAAAUUCAGAUUUAGUAAGUUGCACUAAGUCUGAAAUCCAAAUCUGUGAGCUCCACUUUGGACCAGUUUUACACCCAGUUUCAUAUGGUUUUAGGGAUAGGUUGCCUAAGCAAAUUUGUACCCCUAGUGUAGCUCUACAACUUUGUUACAUUGUCCACCUUCAAACUGUUUAUAGAUCAAAAGUUGUAAAGCCACCAAAACAGCUAGUUGAUAUUAUUUUCAGCAAACUUCAAAUCUGAAUCAAAACUGAAUUUAGCAUUUUACUCCAACUUUUUCUAUAAAACUUGGAAAUAUCCACACAUGAAAGUUGUUCAACUUUCCAAAACCUACAACUUUUAUAUAUAUACCUUUAGCAAAUUCUCUCUAGAUUUAAAAUUCCACUUUUGGGCUUCUUUAAGGUUUCAAUUGGGAUUGCUUUUCUCCAACAAUCUCACCACUUUGGGUUCAUCACUUAAGAGUAGAGUUACUCCUUAACCUAAGAUCCCACUUUGGUGUAUAUAUCUCAUGUCCAAAAUGACACUGUUUAGAAGUGGUGCACUUAAACUUGAUUGCAAACAGGGUUUUUAAUCUUCCCUCGCUCCCAACAACACAACACAUCACAUUUGAGUUGAACUUUUAACCUAGUAAAAUGCAUUCUAGGGAUAUCAAGCAAAAUGAUGUGGAUGCAUAUGAUGUUAUGCCAAAAUUUUAGUUCUUGUAACACCAGGGGUGUUACAUCCUUCCCCCCUAAAAAGGAAUCUCGUCCCGAGAUUUAAAAUUCUAGGUCAAGUAAUGGAAAAAGGAAAUGCAUCACUAGUUUAUUUCCCCAUUACUCUUAAAAGACGAGAGGCGUACCUCUUUUGGUUUAUGUUAAGGACAAAACACACCAGACCUAGGUUUACAAGACACUAGAAACUCAGGAACAUGCUUUUCUAGAUUCUCCUCCAAUUCUCAUGUGGCUUGGUCUUCCGUGUGUUUUGGUUUCACCGUAUCUUGUAAAACUCGAUAACAUUCUUCGAGUGGCCCUAUCCUUUUGAUCCAAAACCUUUAUGGAAUACUCGAGUAGGUUAAAUCUGGUUGAAUAUUGACAUUUGACAUCUCAAGAACAAGUUCGGGGGCUCGAAGAAACUUCUUCAACUGAUACACGUGGAAUAUGUUGGGCACUGCUGCAAUAUUUUCUGGCAGCUGCACCUUAUAAGCCAGAGGUCCACCAAAAUAUUUGUUCCAAAUAUUGGUUCAUCUUACUACUUCCAGGGUAAUAGGAGUUCCGGACUGCAACUCGAUCACAAAUUCCACGACCCUUUCCGGAGGUAAACCAAGCAAAAUCUUGGGGAACACCUCUAGAAACUUCUUAACAUCGUGCAUAUUCUUUACUUCUUUCACUUAAACUCCUGAUGUAGACAAACCUUAUUAUCUCCCAGAACAGCUUGACUAACCACCUUAUUAUAACCUUCAGUCGAACUGGUUGUCAUCAGGAGCUAAAGUUUCACAUUAAAACCACGUAGGAAGUAUUACCCUUUUCCUCUCACUAGUAUCCACAAAAUCCAAAACAUACUGGGAUAGGCGAGUAAACCUCUCAAAUAGUCCAUUACACUCGCUUCUUCACCUUGCUUUAGAUCCAAAAACGCUUUGAACUUUAUUUGCAUAGGGGCUUCUGGAACAUGACGUGCCCGAAAUACCUCACAGAACUCAACCCAAGAACUUAACGUCCUUCUGGCUGCAGCACAAGGUAUUCUGUCCACCAACUAAACUUGGCUUCCAGUCUUCAAAAACAAGGAAAGGUAGCAUAGAAAGGCAAAGACAGACAACAUGAACAGGGUAGACGAAACACGUACUAAAGCUACUACAUAGGGGGUUUAACUUAAAGUUAUAUGUCAUGAUGCAUGCUCGUCCUAUUCGUCCUCACAAUCUUGCUAGCAUAUAGUGGCUUGCACGCUCUAUGGCGGUGGCAUACCUACUCACUCCGGAGUUAACUAGUCGUAAUUUCCUAGAGUUUAGUCAGUGUACCUACAGAAUAUUCCAUUACAGCCCAAAUCCCAUGAUGCAAUUCACACAUUUGGUCACAAUUUAUACUCCAUAUAUUUCUAUAUGGAGGCCAGCUCCUCAUUAAGCGCCGAGCCACGCAUAGGCACCGCUGCCACACUUUUAACCACAGGGCAGCCCAUUGUGGUAACUUACUUUCUUACCUGCGUGUAGGUGCGUCGUUACAAGUACGUUACACUUUUCAGUAUUCCCAUGUCUGUAUACCCAUACACAUCCAUGGGGUACUCAAUUCCCAGAAAAAUAAUUGCUCCACAAUGCAACCUUCAUAUAUACAUACGUAGAAUAUGUAUAUAGUCUAGUGCCACAUUUAAGCACUCCCCUAGACCGACGGUUGUUCGGUCAUGCUCUCACAACUCACCUUUACCUGAGCGUCGAUCCAUUCAAAACUGAAUGGCACUAAAAGUAACAUUACACAUGUAUGCAUUACCCUUCCCAGGUUGUGGGUUAGUGGUUAGCAUCUUAAACUAAGCCACCUGAUAGUCCUUAGUUUUAACCACAUAUUAUUUGCACUUCUACUAUCAGGCCUUGAUUAUAGAUUCUUAAGUUUAUAAAAAUCAUUUUGAAGUUUAUCAAAGGAUUACUUUAAUAUCCAUGCUAAUGGGGGAUCGCUCCGAUACCACGCUGUGACAGCCCUCCCAAGUUAUCAGACCCACAUGCACCAAUCCUUGCCUUAAUGGCCUCAGAUGGUUGUGCACGUGUACCGGGUAACUUAACAAGGCUAUCGAGUUCGCCAACUGGAACUCAUCAUCCCAAGGAUCUCCCACAUAACAGGUAUAUUACAGUAAUCACAUUUGAUACACACACAUUGGAGAUAGAGCGGAAGACUUUUACAAAGUACACUUUACAUUCCAGAACUCAAGUUUUACAUGGUAGAAAGAGAUGUAUUUAUUACAAGUCCUGAUAGUACUUGAAGGGCAUAACUUAACUACAAUAAUUGGAAGGGUGAAGCCUUUCCAUAAGAGAUAUAUAAAAACCUUCUAAGCUUCAAGUCCUCCACAUGAAGUAACUAACCCAAAGAUAAGGGAAUAAAACUUCUCCUACAAAAACAACAAGGGAUAAAACCCUGAGUACGCAAUUACUCAGCAAGACUUACCCGACUAAAGAAAAGACUCUCAAGGGUAUGCUGUCUUUUGGGAAUCAAGGUAAAGCUCAUCAAAGUUCAAGAACUCAUUUUGCAGAAAAGCUUACUAGAAGUGGGUCCUUAAGCCAAGUUUUAUUUCACAAGUUAGUUUAUUACCUGAAUCUUCUAGCCUGAAUCUAGCAUUUUCCUAAUCUAGAUCAUUCACUUGACCUACACUAGGUUCCUUUUAAAUCCAAAUUUUUGUUUCGCUUGUUAUCUACGAUGAAGGGCAGCGAUCCAGUCUUCAUAUCCGAGAAGUAACGGCGAUCCGAAUCGAUUAAUACCCAGCUGGGGAUCUCCAACCACACGACAUAUGCUUCCCUUAACCUUUUUUUUGCACAUGUCUACCAUUCCCACGGAUCCUCCAUCACAUGAACAGGUCCGCGCCACCCGAGAGCACACCACCCCUUUUAGGCGGUCCUUUGCCAGGAGGGUACGUGCCACUCUCGCCAUCUCUCCACUCCCAGUGCGCGAUUGUCUUUUCACGUAUGGAAUAGCCGGGUUCAGGCUUACCCAUGACGAGGUAUGUGGCCAGAUAAAAGGUCCUAGAUCAUCAGGCCAACAAUCGGUACGGUCCUUAAUCGACACAGACGGGCGACCUUUCCUGCUCAGCGUCUGGUCCCAUUUUAAACUAUUUCAAAAUUUUGGCGCCUGGCAGAGGGGCCAUGCCUGGAUAAUGAAUUUAUCAACGUCUUGAUGCCUUCAUUAUCCCAAGCCCAUUUUCUUUUUGUGAAAACAUGAGUCAUAGAUCAAAAACAUUUUUCUUAGUCUAUCAGCAUGACUAAGCAUCUCUAGCUUUUAUAAAACAGGUGACAAGGUAUGGUAAUCAAUCUUUCAAGGAUGGUAAUGCAUCAAGUGUUUAAUCAAUCAACUCCUAUCACCUAAUGCAGCAUAUAAGUGAUAAAAUUUUGUAAACACAAGGGAGGUGGCAAAUGCACCGGGGCUUGCCUUAUUGCAGGAGUAGAUCCCAAAAUUAUUCUACUCUGUAAGUAGUUAGAUAAAACUCCACCACUGGAUCAAGAGGCUCUGGAGUGAACUCCUUUUUCAGACACCGCUUCUUCUCUAGAUGUUCUACAAGUCAAUUGCAAAUACAUGGAUGCUUAUGUAAGGAUAUGAAAUGCAAAGUCUCUAGACUCUCACAACUAUGCAUACAUUCAAGCAAGCAACCAUACCAGCGGCCACCGCUUACCACAGACGUUCGCGCAGAACUGGGAGAACGACGAUGCUGCAGUGAGGUUGCGAGAAUGAGCGUGGGGUCGAUGGCCGACGACCGCUGGCAAGUGUGCAGCGACACACACCAUGGGCUGGGAAGAACCGGAGAUGACAUGCGGCGAGCUCUGGCCAGUUGAACGACGCAAAGCAUGUCAACUCGAAUGCGAGUUCGGUGACAAGUAAAGCUCAUGGAGAAAUUCACUAAAGGCCGAGAGAUGGCAGGGAAAUUAUUGAACUGUAGAGCACAGCAAUAGGAAAAAGGAAGGAGGAAGAUUACUGCACUUUGGAUUUUAAACUAGGAAGGAGAGGAGAAUUGCACGCGCAGCCAGCCACACGUCCCAG